AGGGGAAAAACAUGCAAGACUUCCUUCAUACACAAUUCAAGAGAAAACCAGGCAGCAGACAAAAAACUCUAACAUCUAAUCCACUCUGCCUUUUACAGAUCACCUUGAACAAAAGCCAAUACCAAUAUCAGCAUUGUCCGAUGGAGUGGCAGUUGUGUGCUGUGAGGGCAGUAGGCACAAGAGGCUGGGGUGGGAGGCAGAGAAGGUCAGUCCCCAUCCAGGAUUUCUUCCUCUGUUGUACUGAACAGCGUCUGCAUGCUGCUGUGUUGCUAUGACACUACGCUCCUAGAAAAUGCAAUUAAUAAGCAGAGCAGCCUUUCUUACUGGGAUAACUGCUACUUCUCUUUUGCCAGAGGACUUGACAGAUGCUGCAGUGAAAAGAUAACAGUUCUUUUCACACUGCCACUGAAGCAUUACAGAGUUUAAGGGCUCGCACUGUCAGACGACAUGCAUACGUGUUCGCAAAAUGGCGGCGCAGGCAGUCAUACGAGUCUUAAAGGCUGCACUUCGGAAUGAGACGGGAAGAAUCUCGCCAGCAAAGGUUAUUUGAACACACUCACUUAUUUCUAGAAUAUGAGCCUGACAGCCGCCCAUUUCGGGAAUGGAUGAGCAGAGUCUACCUUCCCCAGCUGCAUGGUCAAAUUACAAUAAAUGAUA